rnacentral:rRNA from 1 species
GGGUUGUGAGGUUAAGCGACUAAGCGUACACGGUGGAUGCCCUGGCAGUCAGAGGCGAUGAAGGACGUGCUAAUCUGCGAUAAGCGUCGGUAAGGUGAUAUGAACCGUUAUAACCGGCGAUUUCCGAAUGGGGAAACCCAGUGUGUUUCGACACACUAUCAUUAACUGAAUCCAUAGGUUAAUGAGGCGAACCGGGGGAACUGAAACAUCUAAGUACCCCGAGGAAAAGAAAUCAACCGAGAUUCCCCCAGUAGCGGCGAGCGAACGGGGAGCAGCCCAGAGCCUGAAUCAGUGUGUGUGUUAGUGGAAGCGUCUGGAAAGGCGCGCGAUACAGGGUGACAGCCCCGUACACAAAAAUGCACAUGCUGUGAGCUCGAUGAGUAGGGCGGGACACGUGGUAUCCUGUCUGAAUAUGGGGGGACCAUCCUCCAAGGCUAAAUACUCCUGACUGACCGAUAGUGAACCAGUACCGUGAGGGAAAGGCGAAAAGAACCCCGGCGAGGGGAGUGAAAAAGAACCUGAAACCGUGUACGUACAAGCAGUGGGAGCACGCUUCGGCGUGUGACUGCGUACCUUUUGUAUAAUGGGUCAGCGACUUAUAUUCUGUAGCAAGGUUAACCGAAUAGGGGAGCCGAAGGGAAACCGAGUCUUAACUGGGCGUUAAGUUGCAGGGUAUAGACCCGAAACCCGGUGAUCUAGCCAUGGGCAGGUUGAAGGUUGGGUAACACUAACUGGAGGACCGAACCGACUAAUGUUGAAAAAUUAGCGGAUGACUUGUGGCUGGGGGUGAAAGGCCAAUCAAACCGGGAGAUAGCUGGUUCUCCCCGAAAGCUAUUUAGGUAGCGCCUCGUGAAUUCAUCUCCGGGGGUAGAGCACUGUUUCGGCAAGGGGGUCAUCCCGACUUACCAACCCGAUGCAAACUGCGAAUACCGGAGAAUGUUAUCACGGGAGACACACGGCGGGUGCUAACGUCCGUCGUGAAGAGGGAAACAACCCAGACCGCCAGCUAAGGUCCCAAAGUCAUGGUUAAGUGGGAAACGAUGUGGGAAGGCCCAGACAGCCAGGAUGUUGGCUUAGAAGCAGCCAUCAUUUAAAGAAAGCGUAAUAGCUCACUGGUCGAGUCGGCCUGCGCGGAAGAUGUAACGGGGCUAAACCAUGCACCGAAGCUGCGGCAGCGACACUAUGUGUUGUUGGGUAGGGGAGCGUUCUGUAAGCCUGUGAAGGUGUACUGUGAGGUAUGCUGGAGGUAUCAGAAGUGCGAAUGCUGACAUAAGUAACGAUAAAGCGGGUGAAAAGCCCGCUCGCCGGAAGACCAAGGGUUCCUGUCCAACGUUAAUCGGGGCAGGGUGAGUCGACCCCUAAGGCGAGGCCGAAAGGCGUAGUCGAUGGGAAACAGGUUAAUAUUCCUGUACUUGGUGUUACUGCGAAGGGGGGACGGAGAAGGCUAUGUUGGCCGGGCGACGGUUGUCCCGGUUUAAGCGUGUAGGCUGGUUUUCCAGGCAAAUCCGGAAAAUCAAGGCUGAGGCGUGAUGACGAGGCACUACGGUGCUGAAGCAACAAAUGCCCUGCUUCCAGGAAAAGCCUCUAAGCAUCAGGUAACAUCAAAUCGUACCCCAAACCGACACAGGUGGUCAGGUAGAGAAUACCAAGGCGCUUGAGAGAACUCGGGUGAAGGAACUAGGCAAAAUGGUGCCGUAACUUCGGGAGAAGGCACGCUGAUAUGUAGGUGAAGUCCCUUGCGGAUGGAGCUGAAAUCAGUCGAAGAUACCAGCUGGCUGCAACUGUUUAUUAAAAACACAGCACUGUGCAAACACGAAAGUGGACGUAUACGGUGUGACGCCUGCCCGGUGCCGGAAGGUUAAUUGAUGGGGUUAGCGGUAACGCGAAGCUCUUGAUCGAAGCCCCGGUAAACGGCGGCCGUAACUAUAACGGUCCUAAGGUAGCGAAAUUCCUUGUCGGGUAAGUUCCGACCUGCACGAAUGGCGUAAUGAUGGCCAGGCUGUCUCCACCCGAGACUCAGUGAAAUUGAACUCGCUGUGAAGAUGCAGUGUACCCGCGGCAAGACGGAAAGACCCCGUGAACCUUUACUAUAGCUUGACACUGAACAUUGAGCCUUGAUGUGUAGGAUAGGUGGGAGGCUUUGAAGUGUGGACGCCAGUCUGCAUGGAGCCGACCUUGAAAUACCACCCUUUAAUGUUUGAUGUUCUAACGUUGGCCCCUGAUCGGGGUUGCGGACAGUGUCUGGUGGGUAGUUUGACUGGGGCGGUCUCCUCCUAAAGAGUAACGGAGGAGCACGAAGGUUGGCUAAUCCUGGUCGGACAUCAGGAGGUUAGUGCAAUGGCAUAAGCCAGCUUGACUGCGAGCGUGACGGCGCGAGCAGGUGCGAAAGCAGGUCAUAGUGAUCCGGUGGUUCUGAAUGGAAGGGCCAUCGCUCAACGGAUAAAAGGUACUCCGGGGAUAACAGGCUGAUACCGCCCAAGAGUUCAUAUCGACGGCGGUGUUUGGCACCUCGAUGUCGGCUCAUCACAUCCUGGGGCUGAAGUAGGUCCCAAGGGUAUGGCUGUUCGCCAUUUAAAGUGGUACGCGAGCUGGGUUUAGAACGUCGUGAGACAGUUCGGUCCCUAUCUGCCGUGGGCGCUGGAGAACUGAGGGGGGCUGCUCCUAGUACGAGAGGACCGGAGUGGACGCAUCACUGGUGUUCGGGUUGUCAUGCCAAUGGCACUGCCCGGUAGCUAAAUGCGGAAGAGAUAAGUGCUGAAAGCAUCUAAGCACGAAACUUGCCCCGAGAUGAGUUCUCCCUGACCCUUUAAGGGUCCUGAAGGAACGUUGAAGACGACGACGUUGAUAGGCCGGGUGUGUAAGCGCAGCGAUGCGUUGAGCUAACCGGUACUAAUGAACCGUGAGGCUUAACCUUACAACGCCGAAGCUGUU